UGGUCUUUCACCUCUCUGAGCAUCUCUCAGAUAACUGAGAAGUUAAUGGAAGCAUCAGGUACUUCUGGGGCUGACACCCAAGAGUUUGCCUUUAAUCUCAGAGGAGAGUUUGGACUUGAACUUUUCAGCCAUGCUGGAACUGCUUUCCUCUCCCUGGUGUCUGGCGUGAGCUUCUGAGAGCUGGAUGGGAAGACAAGCUGAGUGAUGCAUAUCACGCUGGACCCUCAGCCGCCCUCCCUCUCAGAGCUUAGCCCUUGCCCACAGAAUCAGCUGGACUCUUCAUUCUCACCUCUGGGAACGUGGCCUGC